AGACUACUUAGAGAGGGGAGAGAGGGAAGGGACAAGGGCUGAAAAACUACCUAUUGGGUACUAUGCUCACUAUCUGGCUGACAGGAUCAUUUAUAACCCAAACCUCAGUGUUACAUGAUGUACCUGGGUAACAAGCCUGCAUGUGAACCCCCAUAUCUAAAAUAAAAGUUGAAAUCGUAAUAAAGUAAACUAAAAGUUGCUUUAAAUAGUUCCUCCCUGUGUGUUUAUGCCAUCAACCAGAUGUAUAUGUAAGUUUAUUUUUUAAUAUUUAGGAGUUGCUUAAAGUUAACUUAAUAUUUAUGCAACAUGUUUAUAUCAUUCUAAAUCUCUAAAACAAGAUAUAGCCAAAGCUCACAGCUUCUAUCAUUAUUUUAUUCGCUUUGUUGCAUCAUUUUUCUUGUAGGUACCAGUUAGCCAUUCUAUGUGUGUGUUUAGUGAUCUUUGCUCUAUUUUAAAAACAUAAAUAAAUGUGUGUAUAUAUUCAUAUCUUCCCCUUUCUAGAAAACAGCAUACACUUUCUCACCUCACUUUUACGUACAAUAAUAUACCUUGAAAAUCUCUCUAUGGUUUAUAUAGAAGAGUUACUCAUUUCUUUUUAGAGCUACGAGAUAUUCUUUCAUGUGGCUGGACCACAAUUUAUUUACCCAGACACCAAUGGAUAGACAUUUGGGUUAUUUCAGGUUGCUUUUCUUUUACUAUGACAAAUAAUGCUGCAAGGAGUAGCCUUAGGAAUAAGUGUUUUUGUAUUUUUGGCAAUCCAUCUUAGGGGUGGGUCUCCAGAAGACGACCAAAGAGUAAAUGUAUAUAUGAUUUUGCUAUACAUGUUGUCAAAUUCCCUUUCAUAGAAGCUGUACCUUCUUGCAUUCCCACCAGUAUUCUCUGCAAGUGCCUCACUCUUCACAGUCGCUCCAAUAGAAUUCACUGCCAAACUGGGCUUUUUGUCCCUCUGUAGAGAGAAAUGGCAUUUUCAUGUCGCUUUAAUUGGCAUUUCUCUUACUAUUAGUGGGACCAGCAUCUUUCUCAGGUUUCAGCUCUAUUUUCAGAUGAAUGCAUUUUAAAACAUCUCGUAAGCUAUGCAUUAUUAUUUGGCCUUAAUUUAUGGGUGAUAUUUUGUGAUACUAAUUAAGUGCAUUUGAGCUGGCUAUUCAGCAGAUCUUUGUAAGCACGGAUCACCAAAUCUGUCUGAAGUUUCUGAAAUCUCUUCUACUUUAGAACAGCACAUUUGAGAAGUAGUGUUAUCAGGACUGAGGUUUAAACUCUUUGGCAUAUCUGGGGUAUGUGAUUGGAAAUGUGUCUGAAUUGGAAUGUUGCCUUAACGAACACGUGUAUAGAGCUUCACUAUAUAUUCUAAUGAGAAUUCUGUACCAACACAAACCAGGUACUUCUUCAUCAAGAACUUAACCUGAUUAGACUAGCGAACAAUACAGUCAGGAUGGCUAACGGUGACCCCAAGAAACCAAAGAGCAAGAUGUCUGCUUAUGCCUUCUUUGUGCAGACGUGCAGAGAAGAACGUAAGAAGAAAAACCCAGAGGUCCCUGUCAAUUUUGCAGAAUUUUCCAAGAAGUGCUCUGAGAGAUGGAAGACGAUGCCCGGGAAAGAGAAAUCUAAAUUUGAUGAAAUGGCAAAGGCAGAUAAAGUGCGCUAUGAUUGGGAAAUGCAGGAUUACGGACCAGCUAAGGGAGGCAAGAAGAAGAAGCAUCCUAAUGCUCCCAAAAGGCCACUGUCUGGAUUAUUCCUGUUCUGUUCAGAAUUCCGUCCCAAGAUCAAAUUCACAAACCCUGGCAUCUCUAUUGGAGACGUGGCAAAAAAGCUGGGUGAGAUGUGGAAUAAUUUAAACGACAGUGAAAAGCAGCCUUACAUCACUAAGGCAGCAAAGCUGAAGGAGAAGUAUGAGAAGGAUGUUGCUGACUGUAAGUCAAAAGGAAAGUUUGAUGGUGCAAAGGGUCCUGCUAAAGUUGCCCAGAAAAAGGUGGAAGAGGAAGAUGAAGAAGAGGAGGAGGAAGAAGAAGAGGAGGAAUAAAGAAACUGUUUAUCUGU